rnacentral:rRNA from 1 species
GAUGAACGCUGGCGGCGUGCCUAAUACAUGCAAGUCGAGCGCGAGAUUGAGGAUCUUGCUCCUCAUGAUCGAGCGGCGGACGGGUGAGUAACACGUAGGCAACCUACCCUUGAGAUUGGGAUAACUACCGGAAACGGUAGCUAAUACCGGAUACGACUUUCCUGCAUAAGCAGUUAAGUUAAAAGGCGGAUUUAUCUGCCGCUCAUGGAUGGGCCUGCGGUGCAUUAGCUUGUUGGUGAGAUAGUGGCUCACCAAGGCGACGAUGCAUAGCCGACCUGAGAGGGUGAUCGGACACACUGGGACUGAGACACGGCCCAGACUCCUACGGGAGGCAGCAGUAGGGAAUCUUCCGCAAUGGACGCAAGUCUGACGGAGCAACGCCGCGUGAGUGAUGAAGGGUUUCGGCUCGUAAAACUCUGUUGUUAAGGAAGAACACUUGAGGUAGUAACUGGCCUUGAGAUGACGGUACUUAACCAGAAAGCCACGGCUAACUACGUGCCAGCAGCCGCGGUAA